rnacentral:rRNA from 1 species
UACGUAGGUGGCAAGCGUUGUCCGGAUUUAUUGGGUUUAAAGGGUGCGUAGGUGGCCCUGUAAGUCAGUGGUGAAAUAUCUCAGCUUAACUGAGAGGGUGCCAUUGAUACUGCAGGGCUUGAGUACAGAUGAGGUAGGCGGAAUUGACGGUGUAGCGGUGAAAUGCAUAGAUAUCGUCAAGAACACCGAUAGCGAAGGCAGCUUACCAAGCUGUAGCUGACACUGAGGCACGAAAGUGUGGGGAUCAAACAGG